AGUGAACGCUGGCGGUAGGCCUGACACAUGCAAGUCGAACGGCAGCACAGUAAGAGCUUGCUCUUACGGGUGGCGAGUGGCGGACGGGUGAGGGAUACAUCGGAAUCUACUUUUUCGUGGGGGAUAACGUAGGGAAACUUACGCUAAUACCGCAUACGACCUACGGGUGAAAGCAGGGGAUCUUCGGACCUUGCGCGAUUGAAUGAGCCGAUGUCGGAUUAGCUAGUUGGCGGGGUAAAGGCCCACCAAGGCGACGAUCCGUAGCUGGUCUGAGAGGAUGAUCAGCCACACUGGAACUGAGACACGGUCCAGACUCCUACGGGAGGCAGCAGUGGGGAAUAUUGGACAAUGGGCGCAAGCCUGAUCCAGCCAUACCGCGUGGGUGAAGAAGGCCUUCGGGUUGUAAAGCCCUUUUGUUGGGAAAGAAAAGCAGCAGGUUAAUACCCCGCUGUUCUGACGGUACCCAAAGAAUAAGCACCGGCUAACUUCGUG
rnacentral:rRNA from 1 species